UAGAAACGGAAUGUAAAUUACCAGCUCUGA
rnacentral:piRNA from 1 species